AGAUGAGUCAACCCAUGUCAAGUGCUUAGAAAAACCAGCAUGGAGCAGUACCGGGCUCCACCCAUAUCAGGUCCUCUUCUAAUGACCCCAAGAUGCCUACUGGAGUAGACGAUGCUCCCAACCCAGAACCAACAGAGAAGGGCAGGAGAAAUUCAAGUGUCGAUUGGUUUAAGGUGAUGCUGACAGACGCAAUCAUGUGGGUCCGUGUUUUCCAUCCCCAGAAGAGCUCCGUGAUGUCUGCCGAGGUUCGUGUUUCCAGAGGAGAGAACCGUUGUUAGUUGCUUUAACUGGUCCCAGGGUUGGCCUCAAACUCAUGAUCCUCCUGCCUCAGCCUCCUCAGUGUGGAGUGAUUAUAGGCAUGAGCCACCAUGCCCAAGUUACUUCUUAAAGUAAACUUUUUAGAAAACUA